rnacentral:lncRNA from 1 species
GUGAUUAUUUAGUGGACAUCUUGAGAGAGAAAUGUGAAACUGCAGAAUUUAACCAGUUUUUGCUUCCACCGGGAAUGAUUCAUUGUUCUGGCAUUAAAAUCCAAUAACCCAGUUGUAAAUUAACCCUUAUCUAUAUCUUUCUCGGAACAUUGUUUGUUAUGUAGUUGACAUGGAUGCCAAUGGAAACCCAUGUAUGUCCUGCUUUUGUAACUUGGAACAUGUAGAAGUUGAAGUUUCUCUGAGGCAGUUUUUACUCUAAUGGAUCAGGGACCGUUAGGUGACCUGACUGCACUUGUGCUGGAGGAGGUUCAUUACUCUGCGAUGAAAUACAGAGCUGGAGCACCUCUUCUGCUCGGGAUGAAUCUGCUGAUGGCAGCACUUGAUGUGCCAGUGUACACAGAAAAGGAGGGAUUCUUGGAACUGACAGAAGAAACAAAACGUAAGACACUUAACAUGAAAAAUAUCUUGUUAGGAAAUAAAAGACUGGUUUUGUGGCUGGGCUUAAAGCCAGUGCAAAAUACCCAUCAUUUACUGAGUUUAUCAGAUCUGCAAAUCAUUACAGCUCAUUAAAGGCCAUUAAAAGAAGUCUUUCUUAAAUAGGACUUUAUUUAAGGGAAAUCUGCAAAUGAGGUAAAGUGUUCUCUCUUGAAUUAGAUCUGGAGGAACCCGUUCUUCAACAAUUAACACUUAACGCGAUCAGAUUCUCUGAGACGGCUGUUCAUAUCAGAUUUAAACAGGGCCACAGGUGUCCCAAAUGCAGUACCAAAAUCGUACCCGUGACAGUUUGAAGAAGAAAAAAUUGAAGUACCCCCUACUCUUUAACAUUGCAGGAAGACUAAUCCUAACCAGCCAUUUCCUUACUUUGUUCGCUUCCCUCCAGCCGCAGAUAAGAGCCACACGCACACCGAAACGUGCAGUUCUUGGACAUCCACCGUGCCUGUGCUAAUUCUCAAGAAUGUCUGUGAGAGACAGUCUGUGGACGAUAAGCAGACAGCAGACAGGACAUUAUACAACGUCCAAGGGAGGAAAAGAGAGGACAUAGACUGCUUUCAAGACCCCUGAGCAAACAGAGAAGUGAGAAGGUACGAUUUUGUAUGUUAAUAAAGGAUAAUGUCAGUCGUUUUCAACAUCCAUACGGGUUUGAACGCUGUUAAACUAGAGGACGGCAGAACUUUAACAAACACUCUGUCUGGGAUGGGGACCUCCCUCCUUGCGCUCAGUGGCAGAUUAGAUUAUCUGUCUCAGUGCCUUCUGCACACACAUUUGCGGAUGUCCUUGCCCAGGGAAAUGAACACACCAUUCCAGGGUGGAACCAAAUCAUCCUGGAAAUAAAAACAGAUUUGAGAUAAGCACUCUGUCCAUCUUUAGAGUCAGCUGGACUCUGUUUAAAUCUAUUAUGUAGAUGCUAAACUGCAUUUAUAAUCACCUCACCCUAAAGACAGUUAAUUAGAAGCAGUUUUCUUCAGAGCCCAAGAUGUCCUUAAAGAGAUGUCCUCAAAAUGACCAUUUCCAGCGCUUGAGAUGAUUACUGCUUUGUCCUGACAUAAUAGUGAGGGUUACACUGAAAUCUAAGCUAUUGUCUCAUGAUUCAGUGUCUCCAGUGUCUUUGCAAGGUCUCACCCACAAUACUCACUCCUAUAAUCCACAACUUUCAAAGCAGCUUCCAGUUUCUACCCUAAAUAUAUCUUACAAAUAAAAUGUUUCAUUGAUGAUUCAACGCAAGCUGUUAUGAGAUGGUCUGCCAAGAGAAGGCUUCACACAUGACUUCUGAGGUGACCUUGUUGCAUGAAAUGGAGAUGCCAGAGAGCAGAACCUGAAGCUUUGAGCUAAAAUUAUUAAUGUACUUCUAAUCCUGAUUUAGUAUAUAAACUUUAGGUUCGCUUUAGAUUUGUACAUUUAGUUAGGUUUUAUUCCAGAUAAUGUAUGUGAUUGUAAACAAAAAUAAUACCAAUAAUUGUCUAGAUUUAAAAUGUGAAUGGGAGAAAUUUGAAUUAAAACUCAACAAUAUUAUAAUCCUACUGCACCUAUAGUUCAUAAAUAAUAAUGGCUUAUCCGCCUUUUCAGCCAUAAGCAAUAAAAUGGCAUUUUGUAGCUUAUAUGUGGCACUUAAAUUUUUAUUCUGUGUAAGCACAGCACAUUGCAUUUGAUAUCAUCUGGCAGUGAUAAUGCAGUAGAAGUGGAUUUCAAACAGUGCUAUGAUUUUUGGAGAGCUAUGACAGACGCUCUAUGGCAUAAGGACAGAGGAACCUCACAGAUGGCUUCUAAUGGCACUUACUCAGGAAGCGAGAAGCUUCUGCUUUCACCGUCAUCGCAAGACCAUUAACUAAUUAUGACAAUGGUGAAUCACAGGUGCAGAAUAUGACCUCUUGUCAGCGUAAAUCUCUUAAAAUGGCCCUACACCAAGCAAAAAUGGUUGAAAAUAAUUGAAAAUAUAAUGGCUAUACGAAGCUUUAAAAUUAUGCUAAAAAAACAAAGGUAACUGUUUGGGAUGAGGCCAUUGACUGCAAGAAUUUAAGUCUAUGAUGUGUUUAAUAUGAUGUGAUGUAAUGCUGCAAAAAAAAUUAAUAAAUAUGUAUACAGCACCAUUUAAGUUUGUUUCAGUACAUUACGACAUCUACAGAAAUCAGCUUUGUUUUGUCUUCCAUCAGAUGAACUACAAUCUGGCAACAUUUCAACAGCUUUAUUGCUUUCUCAGAGACACAUUCAUCCGUCCAAGUUGGUGGCUGGACUGUGUGCAAUAUUAGUUUUUAUUGUUUCCAGCUGCCUAAAUGAUGACUGCAUGUCAGAGAGAUGCCACAUAUCUGGGAGAGUUUGACAUUAAUUUCAUCUCUCCGCAAUCAUCUCCGCUUAUAAACUUCCAGCAGCCCAUACAGCCACUCCUGCCGAUUUUAUUACGUUUCAUUCACAUCUAGUUGAAGAGCUCUGGUCCUUCUGGUGUAGAGUAAGUAACACUGCUGCAUUCCUUCUUGUUAAUACACAACAUCUUUAGAUGUGAAAUCUUAAGGCUGGAAUGUUGCAUAUUGUGAGUAGUGCUGGUGUGUGAAUGAAGCUUUUUCUGAAGCAGUGUGACAGUGACAUCAGAGAACGCUCAAGUAUCAUGCACACUGCAGAGCACAGACUUCAAAACCACAAGAGUUACAAUUCAAGGUCGGUGCCCAUCUGUUAGAUGACCUCUACUGUAAAUGCUAGAUGAGAACAAAGGUGUGUGAAUGCAUGUGUGUGUGUGUGUGUGUGUAUGAGAGAAAGAAAGGAGAGGCUUAUAAAGAGCAUGGUAUAAAGAGCAAUAUAAAACCUGUUCUCAUUGCAGGCUCUAAUGUCAUAUUUUUGGCCUGCAGUUGACCCUGUAUUUGUAUCAGUUGUGAGGACAGACAUAAAGAUUACUCUUAUCUGCCAGUUCAAUUCCACAGAAGCCACCUACAUCAAAACCAGCACUGUAUUACAUCCAAAGGGAAUAAGUAAUGCUCAACCAUUCACUAAUACAGAACAUGUUUUCUCAGUUUUUUAUAUGAAUGAAAAAAGAAUUAUUCAUAAUUCAGAAUUAUAGAAUUACAAUUCAUAUUUGAAUGUGGGGAUAUAGGUUCAAAAUGAACUGAAAUUCAACUCUAUAUAGUAAGUACACAGACUUGAAACUUUUUGUAUCUUUGUCCAAUUUUCAAAUACUUUUUUGCUUUAAAUCAAAGAUUUUAAUGUUGUGAUUCACCUACAGUAAUAUCUGGUUGGUUUGGUUCAUAGCUUAUAACACUAAAGUCAUUUUUAAAAAUCCCUAUGGGGGAAAAAACAGAACAAAGGUUGCUGAAAAAGAGAACACGCACUGUUGCACUCUACUGGAAUUCAGUAAAUUCCAGCUUCCUGUAAUUCCAAUUCAAAUUCUAAUUAAACUUCCUGUGGGUGUGGCCAAUUCAAAUCAUAUGUAAUUACCUGAAAGAGAGCACUCUUUUUUUAAUUCUGCCCAGCCCUGCUACAGUAUGGAUUUAAUGCCAAUUCAUUAAUUAAAAUGAUCAGUAACAUUGUUGAAACUUCACUUCACCUUCGCUGAAGGACAAAGAAGGCAAUCUUACAGCAUGCGGAACUUAAGACUGAUGAAAGACAUAGACUUACAGUGGACAUACUGGUGAGUUGAAG